rnacentral:rRNA from 1 species
UACGUAGGGGGCAAGCGUUGUCCGUAUUCAUUGGGCGUAAAGAGCGUGUAGGCGGCCAGGUAGGUCGGUUGUGAAAACUGGAGGCUCAACCUUCAGAGGUCGACCGAAACCAUCUGGCUAGAGUCCGGGAGAGGAGAGUGGAAUUCCUGGUGUAGCGGUGAAAUGCGCAGAUAUCAGGAAGAACACCCGUGGCGAAAGCGGCUCUCUGGAACGGUACUGACGCUGAGACGCGAAAGCGUGGGGAGCGAACAGG